AUGAAAGCCACGCCUCUUUUGCCUCUGACGUCGUGCUGUCAAUCAUUCUGCUAUUCGACGAACAACUUUAUCAUCGGCGGAUCAAGCACCAUAAAAAAGAUGACCAGCUCAAGUCAAAGUGACUUUGACCUCAUUGCCACGCAAGAGAUCAACGUUAUCAUGAAUAGGAUUGAAACAUUUCUUGUGUGCCAAAUUGACGAGUUACGUCAAUCGCAAAAAACCCUCAGAGAAGCAACUGAGGCCUUGACAAAAGACCUACCCGCUGUCCAGAGAGAGCUGUCUGUCCUCAAAUAUACUAUCAAAGACCAGGGGAGGGACUUGGAGCAACUCAAGCUAGCGACAGAGGCAACCGACAGACCCAACAACAGCACCAAGGACAACAGUGCCUACAAAAGAUAUACUGGAAGCGCCAACGGCGACAGCGACAGAGAAAAUAAAAGACCCGCCGAUGAUAGACCCGACGACAGCACCGAAAGAUCCAUCGACUAUGACGCCAACGAAGACAGCAGUGACAGCGACAGCAGUGCCAGCGACAGCAGUGCCAGCGACGAAAGCGCCACUGAAGAGAGCGAGAACAGCGACGUUGUAGUCGUGGAGCCAGCAGAUGCCCAAACUAAGAAGGAUGAGGAGGAGCUGGACGAUCUCCUUAAGAAAUUCUGGCCACAAAAAAAAAACUGCAGGGAAAAAUUAGAUGAAAGGCAACAGGCCUUUUUUUCCUUAAUGGCGACGGAGCUGAACAUUAAAGAUAGGACCAACAUCAAAAUGAAUGCGAUGAGAAUAAUCCAACAGGGUAUUCGAAAAGGCGUGUGGCAAAAGAGCUGGAAACCUCCUGGAAUAAAACACAGUUUUGAGGAAUACAUAGUGGAAAAAAUCAAAACAUAUAUUAAAAAAACCCGCAAGAGUGACACUUGAGAACAUUCUUUUUUCUUCUUUUAUUUGUUUAUAGAAGUGUAGUUCCGAUUAGUUUUUUAGAUUUGCAUGCUGUUCUCCUGUUCUCUCUCUCUCUCUCUCUCUCUCACAGACACACACACACACAAACACACACAGACACACACACACACACACACACACACACACACACACACACACACACACACACACACACACACACACACACAAAGUGUUAAUAAAUUAUUUAAAAUUUUUGAUGUUGUUUUAAGGUGUGUUAUUAAAUUGCUACUGUGUCUGCAUUUUAUGUUAUUUACGUGUGUGUGUGUGUGUGUGUGUGUGUGUGUGUGUGUGUGUGUGUGUGUGUGUGUGUGUGUGUGUGUGUGUGUCUGUGUGUGUUUGUGUGUGUGUGUGUGUGUGUGUGUGUGUGUGUGUGUGUGUGUGUGUGUGCGUGCGUGUGUGUGUGUGUGUCUGUGUGUGUGUGUGUGUGUGUGUGUGUUGCUUCAGUGUGCAUGUGGAGAAAGUUUUCAGAUUCUUUCUUCCACAUUUGAUUGAGAAGUGUGUCUGAGGGGUGAAGGAUGGUCAUUUAAAUCUGUGACAAUGCAACAUUUCUUCACAUGCACAACUCAACUAAGCAAUCCUCAAAUGUAUUUUAUUUAAUUAUUUAUUUGCACAAGGAAACAUCUCAUCCUCCAUCACAAUUACUGUUGGUGUCCAGUCAACGUGCAGCAUUUGAUCAACAUUUCAUUAAUGUCAAAAUAGUUCCUAGCGAUCAAAGUACUGGAGGUAAAAAUGUCUUCAGCAAGACAGUAUUGAUAAAAGUUAAAGAAGAAGUUUUUUGUUUGUACUUGUGUGCGUUUUCACAUUUCAUGCAAUAUAAAAUGCUUAUUUUUUUUAAGGUUGCAGUUACUUUAGAACAAUUCAUCAUACUUAUGUAUCAUAUAAAACAGCUUGUCUUU
ensembl:lincRNA